rnacentral:piRNA from 1 species
UUAAAAAUUUGACCGGCAGAG